ACGCAACUCUGUAGCACAGACAGGAAGUAAAGAAAAAUGGCUCAACAAAAUUUUCAAGAAUACGAUCCUCUUGAUGAUUAUGCUCGAAGGACGAAUUCUUAUCGGUAUUUUUCUUCCAAUUAUGGAGAAAAUCACCCUGGCACACAAGCAUCACAUCCAGGUAAUGAAGAGUCUUCCUCUUCAUGCAACUCAUCGCCAGUCAGGAAUGAAAAUAGAAACAGCCAACUGAUAAACAACAGCAUGGCAUUACAGGAGGGCAAGAUGGUCACUCACCAAGUGAGCUACAAUGACACAGGUCAGAGACUCCCAGGGUUUGGAGAACCAAGCCCCAGGCUAGCUGACUCAGCCAUGGGGUUCGGAGAUGUACUUCAGAAUAGAGCUCCCAUGUCACCUAGCCACAGAAAAUCUCUCACAUCACUUCAUCAUUCCGAAACAGAGGUUUGGGUAAUUGUAAUAAUGUGAUACACUAAAUGCACAUACUGUAGAUUCCUAAUUAUACAUGAGUAAUUAAUAUCCUUGUAAAACUUCGAGAAGCUCCCCAUUUGAUUCUAAAAUUUUGCUUUUAUUUUUUUAUUGCUAUAUACUAUAUGGAAUUGUUAAGAAAGUUUGAUGCUUGCUAUUUUUAUGUUCUUGCAAUUUGAUACAAAAUUAAAAAUGACAGGAUUGCAGAAUUAAGUGCUUGCAUAAAAUAAAGAAUCUACAAUAAACGCCUAACUAAAAUACUUAAUGAUAUCUAUGAUUUACAGGUGGAAUUCAUAUCAUGUGAAAUCUUAUUUUAUUUUUCAGGAUAUAAUGGUUUUUGUGGAACCUCCCAGUAAAAGUUUGUUCUGCAAGAUGUGCAAUAAAGUUUAUAAGGACCCCGUGAUGGUCACAUGUGGGCACUCCUACUGCAAAAGAUGUGUAACAAGACAAAGUGAAGGAACAUGUCCAAUAGACAACCAGACAAUAGCGGUCGUCGUCGCUAACAUCGCUGUGUCGGAACAGAUCGGGGAGAUGUUUAUUCACUGUCGGCAUGGCUGUCGACUGUCAGAGGACGGACAGACCUACGAACUGGAUCCAACCCGCUGUCAGGCCACCGUCAAAGUCGCCACCAGAGGGGAACAUGAAGAGGCCUGUGAUUACAUGAUGGUCGAGUGUCCGAAUCAUGCCGGCUGUCCACAGUUACUGAGAAAAGACCUAGAAGAUCACAUCAAAACCUGUUGUAAUGUCAAGUGUCCUCACCACAAAUACAGUUGUGAGUUCACUGGAACACAGGAGGAACUAAUCAUACACCUCAAGAUGUGUAAGUACGAGGGCAUGAAGGACUUUCUGGGUCACAUGGAGGAGAAGGUGGGAGAGCUUCAGGAAUCUCUGGAGGAGAAGGACCAGGAAAUCAACUUCCUGCGAUCCAUGCUCGGGAAGCUGUCCGAGAGACUGGAAAACUUGGAAAAAACGGCCGAGAUCAAACUAGAAAUUAUUGAGCGGAAUCAGAGUAAUUUACUCAAUGAAGUCGUGGAAAAUCGCAAGGAGAGGGCUCUACUCAUGAAUGAGGUGGAACACAUUACUAGUGCAUUAAAUGAGCGGAAUACAGUGAUCGGAGUCUAUGAUCCACAGCAAAUGUUUAGAUGUAGAGGAACCUUUGUUGGACACCAGGGGCCUGUUUGGUGUCUAACAGAGUAUGCAGAGUUCCUAUUCAGUGGUUCCUCUGAUAAAACAAUAAAGGUUUGGGACACGGGAAACAACUACAGAUGUCUGAAAACAAUGGAGGGCCACACAGGCAUCGUACUGGCCCUGUGUACCUGUGGUAACAAACUGUACAGUGGGUCACAGGACUGUAGGAUAAUGGUCUGGAAUAUUGAGAACUUUGAGAAGGAGAAGUCGGUAGAAGCUCAUGAGAAUCCUGUAUGUACUCUGACCUCAGCCAAAAACAUGUUGUUCAGUGGAUCCCUGAAGGUUGUCAAGGUUUGGGAUGCUCAGACAAUGGAGCUUAAAAAAGAACUGACUGGGAUGAACCACUGGGUCAGAGCUCUUGUGGCUACCCAGAAUUACCUGUACAGUGGCUCCUAUCAGACCAUAAAGAUCUGGGACCUGGACUCAUUAGAGGUUGUACAUAAUCUAGAGACGUCAGAGGGCAGUGUAUACAGCCUAGCCGUCACAACCCACCACAUCCUGUGCGGCACCUACGAAAAUGUCAUCCAUGUGUGGGAGCUUAGUUCGAAAGAAUUGGUUGUGACCUUGAAAGGUCAUACGGGGACUGUUUACAGUAUGGCUGUCCUUCACACUUCCUCAGGAACCAAAGUGUUCAGUGCUUCUUACGACAGAUCACUAAGAGUAUGGAGCAUGGACAAUAUGAUUUGUACACAGACAUUAUUAAGACAUCAAGGCAGUGUGGCAUGUUUAGCCGUUUCUCGUGGUAGAAUUUUCUCUGGAUCAGUGGACAGUACUGUAAAGGUGUGGCAGUAAAAGAGAGUUGUGACAGCUGUUGUGACAUGUGGAUGUGAAUGCCAACUGUCUUUGUUUGUGAUAGAAUUAAUGUGAUAUAACAUUUUUAAUGUUACGUAUGUGUGAAAAAUAUACAAUUUGUAUGGGGCUUGCAAUAUAUCUUUUGUGUAUUCAAAUAUUUUGUAAAUAAACAUUUUAUCAAA
rnacentral:misc_RNA from 1 species